GUCGAGAAUCUUUCACAAUGGGGGCAACCCUGAUGGAGCGACGCCGCGUGGAGGAUAAGGUCUUCGGAUUGUAAACUCCUGUCAUGCGUGAACAAGGCUGACUGGUUAAUACCUGGUCAGAUUGAUGGUAACGCAAGAGGAAGAGACGGCUAACUCUGUGCCAGCAGCCGCGGUAAUACAGAGGUCUCAAGCGUUGUUCGGAAUCACUGGGCGUAAAGGGUGCGUAGGUGGCGUGGUAAGUCAAAUGUGAAAGCCCGGGGCUCAACCUCGGAACUGCAUCCGAUACUGCCAUGCUAGAGUACUGGAGAGGUGACUAGAAUUCUAGGUGUAGCAGUGAAAUGCGUAGAUAUCGAGAGGAAUACCAAAGGCGUAGGCAGGUCACUGGACAGUUACUGACACUGAGGCACGAAGGCCAGGGGAGCGAACGGGAUUAGAAACCCUUGUAGUCC
rnacentral:rRNA from 1 species